rnacentral:rRNA from 1 species
GACGAACGCUGGCGGCGUGCCUAAUACAUGCAAGUCGAGCGAAUCAAUAGGAGCUUGCUCCUGUUGGUUAGCGGCGGACGGGUGAGUAACACGUGGGCAACCUGCCUGUAAGACUGGGAUAACACCGGGAAACCGGUGCUAAUACCGGAUAAUCCUUUUUCUCUCAUGAGGGAAAGCUGAAAGUCGGUUGCGGCUGACACUUACAGAUGGGCCCGCGGCGCAUUAGCUAGUUGGUGAGGUAACGGCUCACCAAGGCGACGAUGCGUAGCCGACCUGAGAGGGUGAUCGGCCACACUGGGACUGAGACACGGCCCAGACUCCUACGGGAGGCAGCAGUAGGGAAUCUUCCACAAUGGACGAAAGUCUGAUGGAGCAACGCCGCGUGAGCGAUGAAGGCCUUCGGGUCGUAAAGCUCUGUUGUUAGGGAAGAACAAGUACCGGAGUAACUGCCGGUACCUUGACGGUACCUAACCAGAAAGCCACGGCUAACUACGUGCCAGCCGCCGCGGUAAUAC